rnacentral:lncRNA from 1 species
GAACUGCUCAGAUUCAUUUUUUCUUUAAAUAUGAUCGUAUGGUUGAGAUCAAAUCGCGAUGAACGGUCCAGAUUCAUUUCUUCUUUAAAUGCGAUCAUACGGUCAAGAUCAAAUGCGAUGAAUGACUCAAAUUUAAGGGAGACAGAUAUAAAUAUCUUACAUCACACCGAACUCAAACCCUAACCGCCAGCCUCCCACCGGAGAAGAAGAAUUAGUUGCCGGAUGAGGGAGUCGAUCGUCACCUGCCGCUUAUCGUCACGCUGGAGCCACCUUCGAUUGCCAAAAAAAGUAAACAUCCUCUUAUCCGCUCGAAAUUUG